AACACGUGGGUAACCUGCCUUAUAGUGGGGGAUAGCCUUUCGAAAGGAAGAUUAAUACCGCAUAAGAUUGUAGUAUCGCAUGAUAUAGCAAUUAAAGGAGCAAUUCGCUAUAAGAUGGACCCGCGUCGCAUUAGCUAGUUGGUGAGGUAAUGGCUCACCAAGGCGACGAUGCGUAGCCGACCUGAGAGGGUGAACGGCCACAUUGGGACUGAGACACGGCCCAGACUCCUACGGGAGGCAGCAUG
rnacentral:rRNA from 1 species